rnacentral:rRNA from 1 species
CUGGCGGCGUGCCUAAUACAUGCAAGUCGAGCGAACGGACGAGAAGCUUGCUUCUCUGAUGUUAGCGGCGGACGGGUGAGUAACACGUGGAUAACCUACCUAUAAGACUGGGAUAACUUCGGGAAACCGGAGCUAAUACCGGAUAAUAUUUUGAACCGCAUGGUUCAAAAGUGAAAGACGGUCUUGCUGUCACUUAUAGAUGGAUCCGCGCUGCAUUAGCUAGUUGGUAAGGUAACGGCUUACCAAGGCAACGAUGCAUAGCCGACCUGAGAGGGUGAUCGGCCACACUGGAACUGAGACACGGUCCAGACUCCUACGGGAGGCAGCAGUAGGGAAUCUUCCGCAAUGGGCGAAAGCCUGACGGAGCAACGCCGCGUGAGUGAUGAAGGUCUUCGGAUCGUAAAACUCUGUUAUUAGGGAAGAACAUAUGUGUAAGUAACUGUGCACAUCUUGACGGUACCUAAUCAGAAAGCCACGGCUAACUACGUGCCAGCAGCCGCGGUAAUACGUAGGUGGCAAGCGUUAUCCGGAAUUAUUGGGCGUAAAGCGCGCGUAGGCGGUUUUUUAAGUCUGAUGUGAAAGCCCACGGCUCAACCGUGGAGGGUCAUUGGAAACUGGAAAACUUGAGUGCAGAAGAGGAAAGUGGAAUUCCAUGUGUAGCGGUGAAAUGCGCAGAGAUAUGGAGGAACACCAGUGGCGAAGGCGACUUUCUGGUCUGUAACUGACGCUGAUGUGCGAAAGCGUGGGGAUCAAACAGGAUUAGAUACCCUGGUAGUCCACGCCGUAAACGAUGAGUGCUAAGUGUUAGGGGGUUUCCGCCCCUUAGUGCUGCAGCUAACGCAUUAAGCACUCCGCCUGGGGAGUACGACCGCAAGGUUGAAACUCAAAGGAAUUGACGGGGACCCGCACAAGCGGUGGAGCAUGUGGUUUAAUUCGAAGCAACGCGAAGAACCUUACCAAAUCUUGACAUCCUUUGACAACUCUAGAGAUAGAGCCUUCCCCUUCGGGGGACAAAGUGACAGGUGGUGCAUGGUUGUCGUCAGCUCGUGUCGUGAGAUGUUGGGUUAAGUCCCGCAACGAGCGCAACCCUUAAGCUUAGUUGCCAUCAUUAAGUUGGGCACUCUAAGUUGACUGCCGGUGACAAACCGGAGGAAGGUGGGGAUGACGUCAAAUCAUCAUGCCCCUUAUGAUUUGGGCUACACACGUGCUACAAUGGACAAUACAAAGGGCAGCGAAACCGCGAGGUCAAGCAAAUCCCAUAAAGUUGUUCUCAGUUCGGAUUGUAGUCUGCAACUCGACUACAUGAAGCUGGAAUCGCUAGUAAUCGUAGAUCAGCAUGCUACGGUGAAUACGUUCCCGGGUCUUGUACACACCGCCCGUCACACCACGAGAGUUUGUAACACCCGAAGCCGGUGGAGUAACCUUUUAGGAGCUAGCCGUCGAAGGUGGGACAAAUGAUUGGGGUGAAG